rnacentral:rRNA from 1 species
CGUGAGUACCACGGGACACGAGAAACCCUGUGGGAAGCUGGGGGGACCACCUCCCAAGGCUAAAUACACUCGGCGACCGAUAGUGCACUAGUACCGUGAGGGAAAGGUGAAAAGCACCCCGGGAGGGGAGUGAAAGAGAACUGAAACCGCAUGUUUCCAAGCAGUCAAAGGCCUAUGCCGCAAGGAAUGGCCGAUGGCGUGCCUAUUGAAGAAUGAACCGGCGAGUUACGCUCUCUGGCCAUCAAGGUUAAGCAACGAGAGGUUGUGGAGCCGCAGCGAAAGCGAGUCUGAAGAAGGCGACAAGGUCGGAGGGAGUAGACCCGAAACCACGUGAGCUAUCCAUGGUCAGUGUGAAGCGUGCGUAACAGCACGUGGAGGCACGAACUCACCAGUGUUGCAAAACUGGGGGAUGAACUGUGGAUAGGGGUGAAAUGCCAAUCGAACGUGGAGAUAGCUGGUUCUCCCCGAAAUAGCUCUAGGGCUAGCCUUGUAUGGGAGUCGUGUGGAGGUAGGGCUCUGGAUGGGCUAGGGGGCGCAAUCCGCUUACCAACCCCACUCAAACCACAAAUGCCACACGAUGGUGUACAGGAGUCAGACGGUGGGGGCUAAGCUUCAUCGUCAAAAGGGAAACAGCCCAGACCACCAGUUAAGGUCCCAAAGUCUGCGCUCAGUGGGAAAGGAUGUCGGGAUGCAGAGACAACCAGGAGGUUGGCUUAGAAGCAGCCACCCUUGAAAGAGUGCGUAAUAGCUUACUGGUCAAGUGUUCCGGCGCCGACAAUGUAGCGGGGCUCAAGCGCAGCACCGAAACUGUGGGAUUACUGCUUCGGCAGUGAUCGGUAGGGGAGCGUUCCUCGUGCCGUGAAGGUCUACCGUGAGGAGGGCUGGAGCGCGGGGAAGUGAGAAUGCCGGUAUGAGUAGCGUAGAACUGCGGUGAGAAUCCGCAGCGCCGAAAACCUAAGGGUUCCUGAGGAAGGUUCAUCCGCUCAGGGUUAGUCGGGCCUAAGCCGAGGCCGCAAGGCGUAGGCGAUGGACAAACGGUUUAUAUUCCGUUACCACCAGCGCGGAGCGAUGGGGUGACGCAGCAGGGUAGAUGAGAGCCGGCCCAUUGGACAUGGCCGGUGUCCCGUUGUAGCCCGAUGUGGGAGGGAAAUCCCCCACGUCAUGGGGUAAGGGCGGGACCAAGCGCACCGAAGGGUGUGUGGAGUCGUUGAGCCCACACUGCCGAGAAAAGCCUCUAAGCGUUGAUGCGAUGGUGCCCGUACCGCAAACCGACACUGGUAGGUGGGUAGAGGAUACCAAGGCGAUCGAGAGAACCCUUGUCAAGGAACUCGGCAAAUUGACCCCGUAACUUCGGGAGAAGGGGUGCCCUUCGUGGUGCCGGUGCAUGCCACCGGGUGCUGCGAGGGGUCGCAGAAACCAGGCUCAAGCGACUGUUUACCAAAAACACAGGUCUCUGCUGAACGCGCAAGCGGACGUAUAGGGGCUGACGCCUGCCCAGUGCCGGAAGGUUAAAGGGAGAGCUUCACGGCUUGAACUGAAGCCCCGGUAAACGGCGGCCCUAACUAUAAGGGUCCUAAGGUAGCGAAAUUCCUUGUCGGGUAAGUUCCGACCCGCACGAAAGGCGUAACGACUUGAGCACUGUCUCGACAGGGGACUCGGCGAAAUUGAAGUACCUGUGAAGAUGCAGGUUACCCGCGACAGGACAAAAAGACCCCGUGGAGCUUUACUGCAGCUUGGCAUUGGAUUGAGGGCUGUCAUGCGUAGGAUAGGUGGGACCCGGUGAAGCCGCCCUUGCGGGGGCCGCAGAGUGUAAAGGCACAAGGGAGCUUGACUGCGAGACGGACGGGUCGAGCAGGGACGAAAGUCGGGCUUAGUGAUCCUACGGUUCCGAGUGGAAGGGCCGUGGCUUAACGGAUAUAAGCUACCCCGGGGAUAACAGGCUUAUCCUGCCCAAGAGUUCACAUCGACGGCAGGGUUUGGCACCUCGAUGUCGGCUCGUCGCAUCCUGGGGCUG